UACGUAGGGACCGAGCGUUGUCCGGAAUCAUUGGGCGUAAAGAGCGUGUAGGCGGCUUGUUAAGUCUUGCGUGAAAUCUCGGGGCUCAACCCCGAGCGGUCGUGAGAAACUGGCAGGCUAGAGUGCGGGAGAGGAGAGUGGAAUUCCUGGUGUAGCGGUGAAAUGCGCAGAUAUCAGGAGGAACACCUAUUGCGAAGGCAGCUCGCUGGGACGUAACUGACGCUGAGACGCGAAAGCGUGGGGAGCAAACAGG
rnacentral:rRNA from 1 species